rnacentral:rRNA from 1 species
UACGGAGGGGGCUAGCGUUGUUCGGAAUUACUGGGCGUAAAGCGCACGUAGGCGGCGAUUUAAGUCAGAGGUGAAAGCCCGGGGCUCAACCCCGGAACAGCCUUUGAGACUGGAUUGCCUGAACAUCGGAGAGGUGAGUGGAAUUCCGAGUGUAGAGGUGAAAUUCGUAGAUAUUCGGAAGAACACCAGUGGCGAAGGCGGCUCACUGGACGAUUGUUGACGCUGAGGUGCGAAAGCGUGGGGAGCAAACAGG